CAAUCUUUGACGCAAUUGCGCUCUUGGGUAGCCCUAGGAGCACGCCUCUCUCAGUAUCGGUUCAACAACCUCUCAGCAGCGUAGAUUUCACGAUCUACGUGUUGGCUGGAUAAUGAGAGUCUGAAUUUUACUAUUCAGUCUCUUGAAAUACAUCGAGUAAGUAUCAUCACAUGCCUACGCAUUAUAGAUCUCUCGGGGUCUAUAGCCAAGUCUCUGACUGGUCUGCACGGUAGUAAGUGACGUGAAUACUGAGCCUUGUGCUCUCACAUUUACGUGUAACUUCUGUCGGGUGACUAUAAUAAAGGUCUAGGAUGAGGUGUCGUUUGGGAGCAGGUGUACUUAUGUUAAGCGGCUGCAAGGCUGCAAUCGGCUAAAGUAAUCUAUGAUUACUGAAGUCUGAAUUUUGAUCUGAGAUGAAGCGAGACAACCCCCUGAAUUUAAGCAUAUUAAUAAGGGGAGGAAAAGAAACUAACAAGGAUUCCCCCAGUAACGGCGAGUGAAGCGGGAAGAGCUCAAUUUGAAAAUCGUCUACCUAAGCGGGUCGACGAGUUGUAGCCUAGAGACGUACUAUCAGCUGAAACCUGGGUAUAAGUUCUUUGGAAUGAGGCAUCAUAGAGGGUGAGAAUCCCGUAUAUGACCCAAAGCUUUCAGCGUACGAUGUAUGUUCAUCGAGUCGAGUUGUUUGGGAUUGCAGCUCUAAAUGGGUGGUAAGUUCAUCUAAGCUAAAUAUG
rnacentral:rRNA from 1 species